rfam:Oryza barthii chromosome 12, whole genome shotgun sequence.
UUUAAUUGCAACUAUAAAUUUACGUGUCCAACUUUAAUCGUCCGUCUUAUUUAAAGUUUUUUUCAUAAUUAGUAUUUUUACUGUUAUGAGGUGAUAAAAUAUGAAUUUAUAUGUGACUUAUGUUUUUAAAUUUUUCAAAAAAUUUUUAAAUAAGAUGGACAAUCAAAGUUGUACACGAAAAAUCAUGGUUGCACUUAAA